rnacentral:misc_RNA from 1 species
AAGGAUCAUUACUGAAAUGUCAACAAGGGUUGUUGCUGGUCCUCAAAUGGGGACAUGUGCACGCUCUGUUCACACAUCCACUCACACCUGUGCACCCUCUGUAGUUCCAUGGUCGGGGGGGCCUGUCCCCUCCUGCUAUGGUCCUGCGUCUUUACACACACACUGUAACAAAGUCUCAUGGAAUGCAUGCCGCGUUUAACGCAAUACAAUACAACUUUCAGCAACGGAUCUCUUGGCUCUC